GGCCUAACACAUGCAAGUCGAGGGGUAUAUUUCUUCGGAGAUAGAGACCGGCGCACGGGUGCGUAACGCGUAUGCAAUCUGCCUUUCACAGAGGGAUAGCCCAGAGAAAUUUGGAUUAAUACCUCAUAGUAUUACAGGAUGGCAUCGUCCAGUAAUUAAAGUCACAACGGUGAAAGAUGAGCAUGCGUCCCAUUAGCUAGUUGGUAAGGUAACGGCUUACCAUGGCUACGAUAGGUAGGGGUCCUGAGAGGGAGAUCCCCCACACUGGUACUGAGACACGGACCAGACUCCUACGGGAGGCAGCAGUGAGGAAUAUUGGACAAUGGGCGCAAGCCUGAUCCAGCCAUGCCGCGUGCAGGAAGACGCAUCUAUGGUGUGUAAACUGCUUUUGUACGGGAAGAAACAGCUCUUCGUGAAGAGCCUUGACGGUACCGUAAGAAUAAGGAUCGG
rnacentral:rRNA from 1 species